GAUGAACGCUAGCGAUAGGCUUAACACAUGCAAGUCGAGGGGCAGCACAAGGUAGCUUGCUAUCUGGGUGGCGACCGGCGCACGGGUGCGUAACGCGUAUGCAACUUGCCCUAUACAGGAGGAUAACCCGUCGAAAGACGGACUAAUACUGCGUAUGCUCACAACUUGCAUCAAGUGGUGAGGAAAGAAAUUCGGUAUAGGAUAGGCAUGCGUCCCAUUAGCUUGUUGGUGAGGUAACGGCUCACCAAGGCAACGAUGGGUAGGGGAACUGAGAGGUUUAUCCCCCACACUGGUACUGAGACACGGACCAGACUCCUACGGGAGGCAGCAGUGAGGAAUAUUGGUCAAUGGGCGCGAGCCUGAACCAGCCAAGUCGCGUGAAGGAUGACUGUCUUAUGGAUUGUAAACUUCUUUUAUACGGGAAUAACAAGAGUCACGUGUGACUCCCUGCAUGUACCGUAUGAAUAAGCAUCGGCUAACUCCGUG
rnacentral:rRNA from 1 species